rnacentral:rRNA from 1 species
AUUGAACGCUGGCGGCAGGCCUAACACAUGCAAGUCGAGCGAGCGGCGGACGGGUGAGUAAUGUAUGGGGAUCUGCCCGAUAGAGGGGGAUAACUACUGGAAAAGGUGGCUAAUACCGCAUACCAUCAGAUGAACCCAUAUGGGAUUAGCUGGUAGGUAAGGUAACGGCUUACCUAGGCGACGAUCCCUAGCUGGUCUGAGAGGAUGAUCAGCCACACUGGGACUGAGACACGGCCCAGACUCCUACGGGAGGCAGCAGUGGGGAAUAUUGCGCAAUGGGGGCAACCCUGACGCAGCCAUGCCGCGUGAAUGAAGAAGGCCUUCGGGUUGUAAAGUUCUUUCGGUAGCGAGGCGUUAACUACAGAAGAAGCACCGGCUAACUCCGUGCCAGCAGCCGCGGUAAUUC